rnacentral:rRNA from 1 species
AACGAACGCUGGCGGCAGGCUUAACACAUGCAAGUCGAACGCAUCCUUCGGGGUGAGUGGCAGACGGGUGAGUAACGCGUGGGAACGUGCCCUUCAGUUCGGGAUAACCCAGGGAAACGUGGGCUAAUACCGGAUACGUGCGAGAGCAGAAAGAUUUAUCGCUGAAGGAUCGGCCGGCGUCUGAUUAGCUAGUUGGUGGGGUAAUGGCCCACCAAGGCGACGAUCAGUAGCUGGUCUGAGAGGAUGAUCAGCCACAUUGGGACUGAGACACGGCCCAAACUCCUCAGGAAGGCAGCAGUGGGGAAAAUUGGACAAUGAGCGCAAGCCUCAUCCAGCCAUGCCGCGGGAGUGAUGAAGGCCUUAGGGUUGUAAAGCUCCUUCGUCCGGGACGAUAAUGACGGUACCGGAAGAAGAAGCCCCGGCUAACUUCGUGCCAGCCGCCGCCGUAA